UCCCACUGGCAAUGGACAAAGAAAUACUUUGUUGGUGAUGUUGUUCUUAUAUCAGGACAGAGCAGAUGGCAGUCCUUUGUUCAUCCUACCUAGAUGCUUGCUUGCCUUGAUAGCCAAAGCUGUUUUAUGCCUGGAACACAUAA